rnacentral:misc_RNA from 1 species
GCGUUUAUGCGUGAAUUAUCGUUAAUUUAUUUUAAGUUAAAACCUUUUUUUACAACGAUAUCUUACAAUGUCGCUUUAUACAUGUUCACGAAAUCAGUAUCUCCACGAAACUUGUGUCGUUGAAUUCACUUUCGGCCUCCAGUCACAUCCCUCCUGCUCAUCUUCUAAACGUCCAGCCUUCCGAAUCAUCGUACUUGCGCUCUUUCCCCUCUCUCCGUUUCCUCCGCGUUCCUGUGUCUGUGUUUCUGUGUGAUCGCCUUUGUGUUUCUUUAUACAGUCUACACGCUACUCCCUAAUAAUACUAUUUUAUUAGAAUAAUCUGUCCUCUCUCCGCCGUCUGCGUCUGUUCGUCUCAUUCCGCGAAAAAAGGUGCCGCGGUGAAAUAUCCGCCGCCCUUUCUCCCUCCUCUUCUCGUCAGUCUUUUCUUUUUCCUUCUCCUUUUCUCUCGUUUCCCUCUUUUCCAAGCUACCACGCCGCUCCAGGUCGCCCGCCAUCUCUUCGAACGAAACGAUCUCGAACAAUCGAUCCACCGCGUCUGUCUUUCAAUCUCGCUAUCUGAUCGGCUCGCACAGAAUCCGAGUAAUCGGCUUUGCAAACCUUCGCUUCGAAAGCUUUCGCGCGAAUCUAUUUCGCGAGCAAUCUGCAAGCACGACGCGGUGACGAGCAGAAGUUUCCAGUCCGAUGGAUCUCUCUGUCUCUCGUUACGUUACAUCUCGAAGACGAUAUCGCGAAGAAUUUCAAGCAACUGCACGACGAUACCUACGACAGGCACUAACGACGCUCGUAAUUUUCAUUUCC